rnacentral:lncRNA from 1 species
GGGAAAGUCGCACUUGCCGGCACCUCCGCGGAGGCAAAGGGCACGGCCGAGGGGCGGCUCCGAGGCGCUCGGCCCCACUCCGCGCAGACGGCGGCCGCCACCUGAGCCCGCCCGGCGGCACCGGCGGCCGCGCGCCCCGCCCGUACCUGCGGCGGCGGCUGGCAGCCGGCGCUGAGCUGCUGGUGGCCGUGCGAGCACUCCAGCGGCGAGGCGGCGCGGGACGAGCAGGACGAGCCGACCCGCCGGCAGCCGGGACCGUAGACCUGUAGUUGCUUCUCUCAGAUUUCAGAAGCAGAGCUCAUGACAAUCCUCCCACAUCUGUUUCAUCAGCUGAUUAAAACGUAGAUCUCCUACAAGAGGUAUCCUUACCUGAGAAGCUACUGAGGGUAAUCAACUUGAGAAACUUCUACUUUCUUUGCAAGGGAGAUAUUGGUCGUCCAUGCUCAUUUACAUUACCUGAGAAACAAGAUUUAUUAUUUUAAGAUAAGCAUAUUGGGAAAGCUUUCUCAAAUGAAAACAGAAAGAUAAAUAAAAAAGAUGUUGC